GUCGGAACGUCCCUGUGCUGUACGGCGCUCUGCGGCGCAGCGCGGUCUGCAGGACGCACACCAGUAAGGAAGAGGACUGAGGUGUUGAAAGACGUCCUUGAAGUCCCAUGUAAAUGUCUCGCAGAGGGUACCCUGGAGAGAACCCGGUUUACCUGUGUGGAGUCCUGUCCAGCAUUUCAAGACUGGCAUCAACACGCCACCCUCUACAAACAACCCCCAAGCGGCAUCUCCUGUUCAGACCACGAGCCCUUGUACAGCACCGAUCAUUUAGAACGACUUAAGAGCGCACGUGCUGCACUGCGCCGCCGUCUUUUCCUGCGGUGACUUUAUGCUCGCCGGUUCCAGGAUGUGUAGAAAUGUCCACCUGUAUGGAUAUCUCACCCACCGUAUUAUUAGUGC
rnacentral:lncRNA from 1 species